rnacentral:rRNA from 1 species
UACGAAGGUCCCGAGCGUUGUUCGGAAUCACUGGGCGUAAAGGGAGCGUAGGCGGCGUGGUAAGUCAGAUGUGAAAUCCCGGGGCUCAACCCCGGAACUGCAUCCGAUACUGCCGCGCUCAGAGGAUUGGAGAGGUAGCUGGAAUUCUUGGUGUAGCAGUGAAAUGCGUGGAUAUCAAGAGGAACACUCGUGGCGAAAGCGAGCUACUGGACAACUCCUGACGCUGAGGCUCGAAGGCCAGGGUAGCGAAAGGG